UAGGAUGAUCAACUGUCCUAGUUUGCCUGGGACUAGGGAGUUUUAUGUGCCACAGGACUUUCAGUGAGCAAGUCUCAUGUAAACUAGGAUGGUUGGUCACCCUAACUCCCC
rnacentral:pre_miRNA from 1 species